rnacentral:rRNA from 1 species
GUGGGGAAUAUUGGACAAUGGGCGAAAGCCUGAUCCAGCCAUGCCGCGUGUGUGAAGAAGGUCUUCGGAUUGUAAAGCACUUUAAGUUGGGAGGAAGGGCAUUAACCUAAUACGUUAGUGUUUUGACGUUACCGACAGAAUAAGCACCGGCUAACUUCGUGCCAGCAGCCGCGGUAAUACGAAGGGUGCAAGCGUUAAUCGGAAUUACUGGGCGUAAAGCGCGCGUAGGUCGUUCGUUAAGUUGGAUGUGAAAGCCCCGGGCUCAACCUGGGAACUGCAUCAAAAACUGGCGAGCUAGAGUACGGUAGAGGGUGGUGGAAUUGCCUGUGUAGCGGUGAAAUGCGUAGAUAUAGGAAGGAACACCAGUGGCGAAGGCGACCACCUGGACUGAUACUGACACUGAGGUGCGAAAGCGUGGGGAGCAAACAGGAUUAGAAACCCGAGUAGUCC